rnacentral:misc_RNA from 1 species
UCCGGUUUGUCACCGGCAGUCUCAUUAGAGUGCCCAACCAAAUGUAGCAACUAAUGACAAGGGUUGCGCUCGUUGCGGGACUUAACCCAACAUCUCACGACACGAGCUGACGACAGCCAUGCAGCACCUGUGUUCCGAUUCCCUUUCGGGCACAACCGCAUCUCUGCGGCCUCUCGGACAUGUCAAGGGUAGGUAAGGUUUUUCGCGUUGCAUCGAAUUAAUCCACAUAAUCCACCGCUUGUGCGGGUCCCCGUCAAUUCCUUUGAGUUUUAGCCUUGCGGCCGUACUCCCCAGGCGGGGCACUUAAUGCGUUAGCUUCGGCACGGCAACCGUUGGUCGGGUCGCCACACCUAGUGCCCAACGUUUACAGCGUGGACUAC